GAACGGAAAGGCCCUUCGGGGUACUCGAGUGGCGAACGGGUGAGUAACACGUGGGUGAUCUGCCCUGCACUCUGGGAUAAGCCUGGGAAACUGGGUCUAAUACCGGAUAGGACCACACACUUCAUGGUGAGUGGUGCAAAGCUUUUGCGGUGUGGGAUGAGCCCGCGGCCUAUCAGCUUGUUGGUGGGGUAAUGGCCCACCAAGGCGACGACGGGUAGCCGGCCUGAGAGGGUGACCGGCCACACUGGGACUGAGAUACGGCCCAAACUCCUACGGGAGGCAGCAGUGGGGAAUAUUGCACAAUGGGCGCAAGCCUGAUGCAGCGACGCCGCGUGAGGGAUGACGGCCUUCGGGUUGUAAACCUCUUUCAGUAGGGACGAAGCGAAAGUGACGGUACCUACAAAAGAAGGACCGGCCAACUACGUGCCAGCAGCCGCGGUAAUACGUAGGGUCCGAGCGUUGUCCGGAAUUACUGGGCGUAAAGAGCUCGUAGGUGGUUUGUCGCGUUGUUCGUGAAAACUCACAGCUUAACUGUGGGCGUGCGGGCGAUACGGGCAGACUAAAGUACUGCGGGGGAUACUGGAAUUCCUGGUGUAGCGGUGAAAUGCUCAUAUAUCAGGAGGAACACCGGUGGCAAAGGCGGGUUUCUGGGUAGUAAUUGACGCUGAAGAGCAAAGCGUGGGUAGCAAACAGGAUUAGAUCCCCUGGUAAUACAAAA
rnacentral:rRNA from 1 species